GAUGAACGCUGGCGGCGUGCCUAAUACAUGCAAGUCGAGCGAACGGACGAGAAGCUUGCUUCUCUGAUGUUAGCGGCGGACGGGUGAGUAACACGUGGAUAACCUACCUAUAAGACUGGGAUAACUUCGGGAAACCGGAGCUAGUACCGGAUGAUAUUUUGAACCGCAUGGUUCAAAAGUGAAGGACGGUCUUGCUGUCACUUAUAGAUGGAUCCGCGCUGCAUUAGCUAGUUGGUAAGGUAACGGCUUACCAAGGCAACGAUGCAUAGCCGACCUGAGAGGGUGAUCGGCCACACUGGAACUGAGACACGGUCCAGACUCCUACGGGAGGCAGCAGUAGGGAAUCUUCCGCAAUGGGCGAAAGCCUGACGGAGCAACGCCGCGUGAGUGAUGAAGGUCUUCGGAUCGUAAAACUCUGUUAUUAGGGAAGAACAUAUGUGUAAGUAACUGUGCACAUCUUGACGGUGCCUAAUCAGAAAGCCACGGCUAACUACGUG
rnacentral:rRNA from 1 species